rnacentral:lncRNA from 1 species
GAGAGGGAGCAAGAGUCUGCUGUCUUGCACCACAAUGAUACUCACCUCAUCUCAUCCUUAGGAGAAGUAGAAAACAGGGCAAUUGGGAAGACAGACUCCUGGGGUUCUUCCAACAUUGUUUCCUCUUGGAAAGACUCAGAAAUUCUUUUUUAGCUAUGAAAUUUUAAGAAGUUGAUUAAUAUGCUUUCUCUUCCACCCGCAACA